GAUGAACGCUGACAGAAUGCUUAACACAUGCAAGUCUACUUGAACUUCGGUUUGGGUGGCGGACGGGUGAGUAACGCGUAAAGAACUUGCCUCACAGGUAGGGACAACAUUUGGAAACGAAUGCUAAUACCUGAUAUUAUGAUUUUAGGGCAUCCUAGAAUUAUGAAAGCUAUAUGCACUGUGAGAGAGCUUUGCGUCCCAUUAGCUAGUUGGAGAGGUAACGGCUCACCAAGGCGAUGAUGGGUAGCCGGCCUGAGAGGGUGAUCGGCCACAAGGGGACUGAGACACGGCCCUUACUCCUACGGGAGGCAGCAGUGGGGAAUAUUGGACAAUGGACCAAGAGUCUGAUCCAGCAAUUCUGUGUGCACGAUGAAGUUUUUCGGAAUGUAAAGUGCUUUCAGUUGGGAAGAAAAAAAUGACGGUACCAACAGAAGAAGUGACGGCUAAAUACGUGCCAGCAGCCGCGGUAAUACGUAUGUCACAAGCGUUAUCCGGAUUUAUUGGGCGUAAAGCGCGUCUGGGUGGUUAUGUAAGUCUGAUGUGAAAAUGCAGGGCUCAACUCUGUAUUGCGUUGGAAACUGUGUAACUAGAGUACUGGAGAGGUAAGCGGAACUACAAGUGUAGAGGUGAAAUUCGUAGAUAUUUGUAGGAAUGCCGAUGGGGAAGCCAGCUUACUGGACAGAUACUGACGCUGAAGCGCGAAAGCGUGGGUAGCAAACAGG
rnacentral:rRNA from 1 species